CGUAUAUCCACAUCAUUAAUAUUUCUCCUUGAUGGACUUGUGCAAUGAGUGCAAAAUCAAAAUAAUCAAAGAAAUACAAAGUAUCCCUAUAUUCUAUAUAUAUCCAAUCUCCUACAACUGCAUUAGCUUAAUGACUCCCACCUGCUGCUAGAAUUCAGUCCAUUCCUCGGCCUUUUUUCCACACAAUAAAUAGCAAACUCUUACCACAGAGGACAGAAAACCACCUCUCUAUUUAAAAAUACAAAACAAAACAAAAGAAAACCACCAAAACCCCAUAAUAGGGAAAGAGAACCUGCUCUCCUCCACAGCUCAUUGUCUGGGGAUGAGGGCGGAUGCUGGAGGCCGCGGUGCGGAGGACGGCUCCGGCAGAUGGGACGAGCCGAGGCGCUCUCGGGUAAACAUGGGGGCGAAGCGGGGCGCCAGGGGGCAGCGGGGGCGGCCCCGCUCCGGAGGGGGUCCCGCGGCGGGGGCACUGCCCGCUGGCCUCCCCCCAACGUCACUUCCGAGGCUGGAGACAAAAUGGCGUCCGGACGGUGCCGGAGCUGAGGCCGUUCCGCGCCUUUCUGAGCCGGGCCGCGGGUGGAGGAGGACGAGGAGGCGGCGGUGGCCUCGCAGGGCUCAUGUGAUCAGAGGAGUUCCUCUGCCGUGUGUGUCUGCUCAGAACGCAGCCGGGAUUCACAAUGAAUCAGAGCACAACUGAGCCUCCUGCUGAAGUGGAGACCUUAGCUGAUGUACCUGAGCACGUGCUUCGGGGGCUUCCUGAGGAUGUCAGGCUCUUCCCAUCUGCUGUUGACAAGACAAGGCUUGGUGAGUGCCACAGCUGCAAAAAGAGAAUGAAGGCUUAUAAAAUGGCUCACGUAAAUUGCUUGCUGCAGAUGCUGUGAACAUUUGGUGCCUUUGUAUGCUGGGCAAUGAGUGGAGAAGAAGUAAUGUCUGGUGCAUUUAUCUGAAACCAUUCAUAUUGGAGGGAGUGGUCUCCUACUGCCUUAGUUCCUCUAGCAGACCAAGGUUAUGUUCCUGAAAGAUCAAACUCAGGGUCAAAGAUGGACCAGGAUGCAAAGAGGUUAGGUUAUGGAGAUGCUGCUACGUUCCUUUACUGGCUGCCUUAAUUUAUAGCUCUUUCACUUGUAUCAGUGUUGUACUUUUGCUGCUAUCUUAUUGUUGUUUCACUUCAGAAUGCUGUGUCUCACUAUCCAAUCAAUACAAAAAGUCUCUUACGUGAUUCAGUGCAGACUUNGCUCUUUGAAAAACAGCUUUGUUAUGGGGGUUGGUUUUGCUUUUGGAGCUUUCAUAAAAGUUCUCAGCUGUUUCAGUAUUUCUUGUGCUGCUUGUAUUUGGGUUUGCCUUAAAGCAAAUACUGUCUGGACAGCUGAAUAGUUUUUUCAAGCUCCUCUGACAGUCAUAAGACCUCAGAUAUUAUGUAGAUUUCAGAGUGUGGGUGUCUUAAUCUGGAGUUAAAUUCUAUCUACAGUGUCUUUAAAUAAGGCAGUUCCUAAGUGCUCCCAAAGACAGCAUCACUUUUUCUGAUGGCAUACACAGCAAGUGGCUUUAGCAGAAUGCAUGGAGGAGGGAUGGAGGAACUCUGGCAUGGCAGUUUCUGUUCAGAACAUGCUAAUGUACAGAUCUUUAGGUUAAAGAGGUUGAUAGUAGUCGUCCUUCUGGCCUCUGGACUGCAAAAAGAGAGCUACAUAAAACACUGGAUAACCAUGCAAAGCUUAGUGAUAAGCCGUAUCAGAGGAACUGAGCUCAAAUAAUCUCCCAUAAAUGCAAAUUCACGUUCAGGAAAGUAAUAAAGUAAAGUAGAAUGUUUGCUGUAUCAAACUAGUGUUUUAUUUUACCAAUUCUACUGCAUAAGGUAUCUCAACUUCUGAUCUGCUACACGAGCACUUGGUGAGAUUGGAUCAGUCUGGUAAAUUAUUGACCUUGUGAUUGUUUUUCUUGAUUUUCAAUGUUCCCCCUGGAUGUAUCUUAACGUCUUUGGAAAAGUUGUGUUGAGAAAUGAUAGCAGCAAGCAAACUGACACAGUUUCAUAGUUUGCAAUGCAGGCAACAACAGGAUCUCCUUCUAAAUUUCAAAGUAGUUGUGUGUUGCUUUAAUACUGAUUUGGGAAUUAAAAAUAAAAGGCAGCUAAAGUGAGACUGCAACAGUUGGCCCCAUAUGUUGAUAUCUGAAACCACUCCAGCAUCGUAAGUGUUAGGAAGUAUGAUUGUAAAAGGAUGGUGUGUGAGUAGUGCAGCGUAUGGACCUUCAACCAAGAGAAAACCUUUUCCACAGGAAUUCAAUUGAUUUUAGUGAAGUUAAUCUGAAGAAAACCUCAAUUUUUAAUGAUUCUAAACUCCCAUAUGAUUUAGAAUAAGUGGGCGAGUUUUGUGUUGAUGUGUGGAUGCUGUAUCUCAGGAGAGCAGUUGACUGGAAGGCAUUCUCAUGUUCUGUCAGAGAAAAGCCACUGGUAGGGAAACAGUGGCAAGUGACUGAAAACUGAGGGAGUUGCCACCUCUUGAAGGGUUCAGAACAAUGGUCCAGCUGCAGUUUACCAUGGUUUUUAGGAGUCAUUUGAAGUUGCAGUGUUGUACAGAGGGGCUGAAGCCAUCUCCUCUCUCACAGCGCACAAGAUUUUGCAGCAAAUAUAUAUGUGUAAAUAGAUUCCUCAUCAGAUGAGGUGACCUGACCAGAAAGCAGUCCUGUGUUACGCUUUGUCAUCAGUGCCAGGUCUGCUAACUCUUCCACAGCGUUGCUUGGCUGUUUCCUUCCAUUUUAACCAGACUGAAUUCCUUUACCAUCGUGCUCUGUGAAGCUGUUUCCUUUCUCGUGUUGCAAGGGCUGGGUGUGCUGAUGAGUGCUUUCAAAAGUCAGCUGAUGAAAUCCACGCUGGAGUAGUUUAAGUAGGGAAGGAGUUUUCUCUUUGCUUGGAAAGAGGUGAGUUCUUCCUAGUGGGAGCUGAUGAUUGCAGGCUUAACCAAAAGCAGAGAAAGCAAAUAGUGAAGCAUAACCAAAUUAUACUUAUUUUUACUUUUUUGUUUGUUUCUGAAAGUCUGAGAGCUGCCCAACGCUUCCAACCAUACACAGUCUCAGUAUGCCCAUGUUCUGAGACAGAGUAUUCUUAAAUAAUGGAAAAAUGAUGGCUGUCGUUGCUGAGCAGUGGGGCGUCCUUCAGUUUGGAAAGAAAUAAGUGUAUAACAUCCAUUGACAGCUUUUCUUAUAGGAAUCCAACUUGGAUUAUAAGAAGGAACAUGGGAAGUAUUUAACAUGUCUUGAAAGAGAAGCAGAGUUGCCUGUUAGCAGAAAAUAGUGGAGACCUACCAGUAGCUUUGCUUUAAUGAAAGCUGUCUGGAACAUGGGUAGACAUUAAGAACAUGGGUAGACAUUAAGAACAUUUAACCAAGAAUGGAAACAAAAAUUGCACGCAGCACCUUGGGACAUUCAGAAGUUCAUAGAUGUACAUUUCUAAGGUGGUCACAAAGGUUUUCUUCAGUCCUCUGAAGCAAGAUGAAAUAGACAGUGUCUUUUCUCUUACCUUUCCAAAUAAAGCAAAUGCUUCUGACUUCUUUGUCAUUGCUUUUCCUGAUUCCUCAGACAGCAAAAAUAAAACUCAACUGUAUUUAUAUAAUAACACGAAGCCUUAGAGUAGAUAUAAACUCCAGAGUAUGACACCAGGCAUGGCAAACGGAAAACAAAGCAUAGAAUGUGUUAACUAGUUUGGCUUUUGAGCCCAAAGCCUUCAGACAGAGGAGGGUUUGUUGACCGAAAGUUGUUCAGUUUGUUACACCAAUUUGUCUGACAAGAAUGCAAACAGCA
ensembl:lncRNA